ACGAUGAAGCUGGAGCUUGCUCCGGUGGAUUAGUGGCGAACGGGUGAGUAACACGUGAGCAAUCUGCCCUUGACUCUGGGAUAACUGCGGGAAACUGUAGCUAAUACCGGAUACGAGGCUCGAAGGCAUCUUCGGGUCUGGAAAGAAUUUCGGUCAAGGAUGAGCUCGCGGCCUAUCAGCUUGUUGGUGAGGUAAUGGCUCACCAAGGCGACGACGGGUAGCCGGCCUGAGAGGGUGACCGGCCACACUGGGACUGAGACACGGCCCAGACUCCUACGGGAGGCAGCAGUGGGGAAUAUUGCACAAUGGGCGAAAGCCUGAUGCAGCAACGCCGCGUGAGGGAUGAAGGCCUUCGGGUUGUAAACCUCUUUUAGCAGGGAAGAAGCGAAAGUGACGGUACCUGCAGAAAAAGCACCGGCUAACUACGUGCCAGCAGCCGCGGUAAUACGUAGGGUGCAAGCGUUGUCCGGAAUUAUUGGGCGUAAAGAGCUCGUAGGCGGUUUGUCGCGUCUGCUGUGAAAACCUGAGGCUCAACCUCAGACCUGCAGUGGGUACGGGCAAGCUAGAGUGCGGUAGGGGAGAUGGGAAUUCCUGGUGUAGCGGUGGAAUGCGCAGAUAUCAGGAGGAACACCGAUGGCGAAGGCACAUCUCUGGGCCGUAACUGACGCUGAGGAGCGAAAGCGUGGGGAGCGAACAGGAUUAGAUACCCUGGUAGUCCACGCCGUAAACGGUGGGUGCUAGUUGUGGGUCACAUUCCACGUGAUCCGUGACGAAGUUAACACAUUAAGCACCCCGCCUG
rnacentral:rRNA from 1 species